rnacentral:rRNA from 1 species
UGAUCAUGGCUCAGAUUGAACGCUGGCGGCAGGCUUAACACAUGCAAGUCGAGCGGAGAGAGGUAGCUUGCUACUGAUCUUAGCGGCGGACGGGUGAGUAAUACUUAGGAAUCUGGCUAUUAGUGGGGGACAACAUUUCGAAAGGGAUGCUAAUACCGCAUACGUCCUACGGGAGAAAGCAGGGGAUCUUCGGACCUUGCGCUAAUAGAUGAGCCUAAGUCGGAUUAGCUAGUUGGUGGGGUAAAGGCCUACCAAGGCGACGAUCUGUAGCGGGUCUGAGAGGAUGAUCCGCCACACUGGGACUGAGACACGGCCCAGACUCCUACGGGAGGCAGCAGUGGGGAAUAUUGGACAAUGGGGGGAACCCUGAUCCAGCCAUGCCGCGUGUGUGAAGAAGGCCUUAUGGUUGUAAAGCACUUUAAGCGAGGAGGAGGGUACUGGUAUUAAUACUACCAGGUACUGGACGUUACUCGCAGAAUAAGCACCGGCUAACUCUGUGCCAGCAGCCGCGGUAAUACAGAGGGUGCGAGCGUUAAUCGGAUUUACUGGGCGUAAAGCGUGCGUAGGCGGCUAAUUGAGUCGGAUGUG